rfam:Desulfovibrio sp. FW1012B chromosome, whole genome shotgun sequence.
GGGGGCGUAGCUCAUCUGGGAGAGCGAUGCGUUCGCAACGCAUAGGUAGUGGGUUCAAGUCCCAUCGCCUCCA